ensembl:processed_transcript Eldr Egfr long non-coding downstream RNA
UGACUAGGUGCUCCUUCCCUGAGCAUAGUAACAUUCCAGGGAGCUGCCCGGGGAAGCUUAACGCUCGAUGCGGGUGGUAGGAAUGUAUCAUGGUGGGAGAGUCAUGGCAGCAGGCAGCUGGAACAGGACACCAAGUAAGAACACCUUCAACUACAAGCAGAAGUCAAGGAGAACUGAAAGUGGGUCCCUGAAGUCAGCUCUGGAAAACUGAGAAGAGUGCUGCGUGCAGAAUGCUUCGCUGGAUGUUUUUUUCCUCUAUUCUCACAGACAACUGGAACCUUGAGAGCCAAGGGAGAUUGUGGAGAGGAUGUGAGCAGAUGGCCGCUGAGGAUAGCUGACCGGGUGGGUGGGCUGGAACCUAGGCCAGGACCUGCCACCUGAGGAUUGUGCCUGCGAUGUCCAUAUGAUUGUGAACAGCUAAACAGGGAGCUCUGCUCUGUUGAAAAUCAUAAAGUUGAAAAUGAAAAGAGAUAAAGCCUUAAGCACAGAAGAAUAUUUUGUCUUUGGUGAAAAGAACAACUUAAGAUUAAUUUUAUUUUUAUGCUGUAUAUGCGUGUGGGUAUGUGCAUGCAAAUUUGGGUGACUCCAAAGGUCAGAGCAUCAAAUCACUUGGAGCUGGGAUUAUAGGCAAAUGAAAGCUGCCAAGCAUAGGAAUCUAACGAAUGUCCUCUGUAUGAGCAGAGAGUACUCCUUACUGCAGAGCCAUGUUUCCAGCUUAAGGAGGGCUUUUAGAAAGAAGAUUGAUAGAGAAUACAUACUUAAUAGUUUGAUGUACUAAAAAGGUUAA